CGGACAGGGGGGUUCCCGCCCACCGGGCGGGGCCUGUCCGACCGGCCGCGCGGACAGCGCGGCCAGUGGUUGUCGCUCGGGGGUGAACGCCG
rnacentral:sRNA from 18 species